CGACACCGUGUGUUGUUGGGUAGGGGAGCGUUCUGUAAGCCUGUGAAGGUGUGCUGUGAGGCAUGCUGGAGGUAUCAGAAGUGCGAAUGCUGACAUAAGUAACGAUAAAGCGGGUGAAAAGCCCGCUCGCCGGAAGACCAAGGGUUCCUGUCCAACGUUAAUCGGGGCAGGGUGAGUCGACCCCUAAGGCGAGGCCGAAAGGCGUAGUCGAUGGGAAACGGGUUAAUAUUCCCGUACUUGGUGUUACUGCGAAGGGGGGACGGAGAAGGCUAUGUUGGCCGGGCGACGGUUGUCCCGGUUUAAGCGUGUAGGUAUGUGUUCCAGGUAAAUCCGGUUCACUUUAACACUGAGGCGUGACGACGAGGCACUACGGUGCUGAAGCAACAAAUGCCCUGCUUCCAGGAAAAGCCUCUAAGCAUCAGGUAACAUCAAAUCGUACCCCAAACCGACACAGGUGGUCAGGUAGAGAAUACCAAGGCGCUUGAGAGAACUCGGGUGAAGGAACUAGGCAAAAUGGUGCCGUAACUUCGGGAGAAGGCACGCUGACACGUAGGUGAAGUGAUUUACUCACGGAGCUGAAGUCAGCCGAAGAUACCAGCUGGCUGCAACUGUUUAUUAAAAACACAGCACUGUGCAAACACGAAAGUGGACGUAUACGGUGUGACGCCUGCCCGGUGCCGGAAGGUUAAUUGAUGGGGUCAGCGCAAGCGAAGCUCCUGAUCGAAGCCCCGGUAAACGGCGGCCGUAACUAUAACGGUCCUAAGGUAGCGAAAUUCCUUGUCGGGUAAGUUCCGACCUGCACGAAUGGCGUAAUGAUGGCCAGGCUGUCUCCACCCGAGACUCAGUGAAAUUGAACUCGCUGUGAAGAUGCAGUGUACCCGCGGCAAGACGGAAAGACCCCGUGAACCUUUACUAUAGCUUGACACUGAACAUUGAGCCUUGAUGUGUAGGAUAGGUGGGAGGCUUUGAAGUGUGGACGCCAGUCUGCAUGGAGCCGACCUUGAAAUACCACCCUUUAAUGUUUGAUGUUCUAACGUGGACCCGUGAUCCGGGUUGCGGACAGUGUCUGGUGGGUAGUUUGACUGGGGCGGUCUCCUCCUAAAGAGUAACGGAGGAGCACGAAGGUUGGCUAAUCCUGGUCGGACAUCAGGAGGUUAGUGCAAUGGCAUAAGCCAGCUUGACUGCGAGCGUGACGGCGCGAGCAGGUGCGAAAGCAGGUCAUAGUGAUCCGGUGGUUCUGAAUGGAAGGGCCAUCGCUCAACGGAUAAAAGGUACUCCGGGGAUAACAGGCUGAUACCGCCCAAGAGUUCAUAUCGACGGCGGUGUUUGGCACCUCGAUGUCGGCUCAUCACAUCCUGGGGCUGAAGUAGGUCCCAAGGGUAUGGCUGUUCGCCAUUUAAAGUGGUACGCGAGCUGGGUUUAGAACGUCGUGAGACAGUUCGGUCCCUAUCUGCCGUGGGCGCUGGAGAACUGAGGGGGGCUGCUCCUAGUACGAGAGGACCGGAGUGGACGCAUCACUGGUGUUCGGGUUGUCAUGCCAAUGGCACUGCCCGGUAGCUAAAUGCGGAAGAGAUAAGUGCUGAAAGCAUCUAAGCACGAAACUUGCCCCGAGAUGAGUUCUCCCUGAGACUUUAGGUCUCCUGAAGGAACGUUGAAGACGACGACGUUGAUAGGCCGGGUGUGUAAGCGCAGCGAUGCGUUGAGCUAACCGGUACUAAUGAACCGUGAGGCUUAACCUUACAACGCCGAAG
rnacentral:rRNA from 3 species